rnacentral:rRNA from 1 species
UGUGAGCUCGAUGAGUAGGGCGGGACACGUGGUAUCCUGUCUGAAUAUGGGGGGACCAUCCUCCAAGGCUAAAUACUCCUGACUGACCGAUAGUGAACCAGUACCGUGAGGGAAAGGCGAAAAGAACCCCGGCGAGGGGAGUGAAAAAGAACCUGAAACCGUGUACGUACAAGCAGUGGGAGCACGCUUCGGCGUGUGACUGCGUACCUUUUGUAUAAUGGGUCAGCGACUUAUAUUCUGUAGCAAGGUUAACCGAAUAGGGGAGCCGAAGGGAAACCGAGUCUUAACUGGGCGUUAAGUUGCAGGGUAUAGACCCGAAACCCGGUGAUCUAGCCAUGGGCAGGUUGAAGGUUGGGUAACACUAACUGGAGGACCGAACCGACUAAUGUUGAAAAAUUAGCGGAUGACUUGUGGCUGGGGGUGAAAGGCCAAUCAAACCGGGAGAUAGCUGGUUCUCCCCGAAAGCUAUUUAGGUAGCGCCUCGUGAAUUCAUCUCCGGGGGUAGAGCACUGUUUCGGCAAGGGGGUCAUCCCGACUUACCAACCCGAUGCAAACUGCGAAUACCGGAGAAUGUUAUCACGGGAGACACACGGCGGGUGCUAACGUCCGUCGUGAAGAGGGAAACAACCCAGACCGCCAGCUAAGGUCCCAAAGUCAUGGUUAAGUGGGAAACGAUGUGGGAAGGCCCAGACAGCCAGGAUGUUGGCUUAGAAGCAGCCAUCAUUUAAAGAAAGCGUAAUAGCUCACUGGUCGAGUCGGCCUGCGCGGAAGAUGUAACGGGGCUAAACCAUGCACCGAAGCUGCGGCAGCGACGCUUAUGCGUUGUUGGGUAGGGGAGCGUUCUGUAAGCCUGUGAAGGUGUGCUGUGAGGCAUGCUGGAGGUAUCAGAAGUGCGAAUGCUGACAUAAGUAACGAUAAAGCGGGUGAAAAGCCCGCUCGCCGGAAGACCAAGGGUUCCUGUCCAACGUUAAUCGGGGCAGGGUGAGUCGACCCCUAAGGCGAGGCCGAAAGGCGUAGUCGAUGGGAAACAGGUUAAUAUUCCUGUACUUGGUGUUACUGCGAAGGGGGGACGGAGAAGGCUAUGUUGGCCGGGCGACGGUUGUCCCGGUUUAAGCGUGUAGGCUGGUUUUCCAGGCAAAUCCGGAAAAUCAAGGCUGAGGCGUGAUGACGAGGCACUACGGUGCUGAAGCAACAAAUGCCCUGCUUCCAGGAAAAGCCUCUAAGCAUCAGGUAACAUCAAAUCGUACCCCAAACCGACACAGGUGGUCAGGUAGAGAAUACCAAGGCGCUUGAGAGAACUCGGGUGAAGGAACUAGGCAAAAUGGUGCCGUAACUUCGGGAGAAGGCACGCUGAUAUGUAGGUGAAGUCCCUCGCGGAUGGAGCUGAAAUCAGUCGAAGAUACCAGCUGGCUGCAACUGUUUAUUAAAAACACAGCACUGUGCAAACACGAAAGUGGACGUAUACGGUGUGACGCCUGCCCGGUGCCGGAAGGUUAAUUGAUGGGGU